UGGGGAUCUCCAGCUGCCAGAUCCCAAAAUGCGUAUGGUCUUACUGAGCAGUCAAUGGAAACAGCAGAGUUUCCCUUUCUAUACAUGGCCACGAGAGAGCCGGCUGCUUCUUCAGCCUGCAGAGAGCUGUCUUUGGGCUGGGCUUUGCGUAGGGUGUGCUGGUGGUGGUCGAACUCUGUGACGGCUUCUCAGCUCGGGCAGUUCCAAAUUACAUACGUUAAAAAAAUCAGACGGAACGCCGUAUUUCAAGGCUGCUCAGGAAACUGAAUUCCCUCCUUUCAGCAUUGUACGGCCAGUUCUGCUGCACAGGGGCAGCACUCCUGGAGGUCCGAGGUGGAUCUGGAGCUGGCAUCCCAACUCAAAGGGCAGCUUGGAAGAGACGGGCUUCUACGAGGAGUCCCUUGCUCUGUGGGGGCCAUGCAUGGGAGCUGUAGUCUCUGGCAUAGACAAUAGCCGUGUGAAUCAGCAGGACUUCACCGAUCUAUACUGAAGAGUUUGGAGUUGCUGAAGCAUGGGAACUGGUGGCUGUGGAGCAGCUCAUUAUACGCUCAUUUUAAUUCCAUCCUUGCAGGAUUGCCAACCACCAGACCAGGCUACCCAGAGCCACAUCCAGCCUGGCCUUGAAUACAUCCAAGGAUGGAGCAUCACCACCCUCUGGAGUCCAUGCUGGAAGGAGAAAGUGGCAGCAGAGGAUAAUGGUGCAGUCAGUACUGGCACAGUGUCACGCCUCGAGCUGAAGAGGGGAAAAUGGGAAAUAAUUUUGAUGUAGUAAUAAAUAUCUGUGGCAUGAAAACCUCAGAAAGUAUUUUCAACUGGAGCAGAUGUGCUUGGGACAGAUGGCUAAUGGUCAGCAGAGCCUUUGGGCUCAAGAGGAAAGUUGAUUCUAUCCUAAUUUUUUUUUUCCGGGCAAAGGAAAACAUGACAGUGUUUCACCAUUAGCAGUUAUGGAAACUGCAGCUACGGGGGGGCAGUUAGAUCCACAUAAAUGGAAUCAUAAGGCCAAGUGCUGGUACUAGCAAGUACCCCUGCAAUGAAAGGUUGCUCCCAUUGCUGCACAGUGUCGUCCCCUGCAAUGGGCUGGCGAUGAGCAGCACAGAAAUAC
ensembl:lncRNA